UACGGAGGGGGCUAGCGUUGUUCGGAAUUACUGGGCGUAAAGCGCACGUAGGCGGCUUUGUAAGUUAGAGGUGAAAGCCCGGGGCUCAACUCCGGAAUUGCCUUUAAGACUGCAUCGCUAGAAUUGUGGAGAGGUAAGUGGAAUUCCGAGUGUAGAGGUGAAAUUCGUAGAUAUUCGGAAGAACACCAGUGGCGAAGGCGACUUACUGGACACAUAUUUGACGCUGAGGUGCGAAAAGCGUGGGGGAGCAAAACAGG
rnacentral:rRNA from 1 species